rnacentral:rRNA from 1 species
GAUGUACGCUGGCGGCGUGCCUAAUACAUGCAAGUCGAGCGAACAGACGAGGAGCUUGCUCCUCUGACGUUAGCGGCGGACGGGUGAGUAACACGUGGAUAACCUACCUAUAAGACUGGGAUAACUUCGGGAAACCGGAGCUAAUACCGGAUAACAUGUUGAACCGCAUGGUUCAACAGUGAAAGACGGUCUUGCUGUCACUUAUAGAUGGAUCCGCGCCGCAUUAGCUAGUUGGUAAGGUAACGGCUUACCAAGGCAACGAUGCGUAGCCGACCUGAGAGACUGAUCGGCGACACUGGAAGUGAGACACGGUCCAGACUCCUACGGGAGGCAGCAGUAGGGAAUCUUCCGCAAUGGGCGAAAGCCUGACGGAGCAACGCCGCGUGAGUGGAGAAGGUCUUCGGAUCGUAAAACUCUGUUAUUAGGGAAGAACAAAUGUGUAAGUAACUAUGCGCGUCCUGACGGUACCUAAUCAGGAAGCCACGGCUAACUACGUG